AGGACCGCGCUGGAGAAGCAGGGCACGUGCAUGCAUGCGGGCGUGCUCGAUCUCAUCCUGCCUCCGUCGGUGGGAUCGGAGCUGCUAGCCCUGCACUGCACUGCACGUGUUCUUCUCCUCCAUCACGGUCUUUC
rnacentral:pre_miRNA from 1 species